AAUGAGAUGCAAAUAUCAAGCAUUAAAUACCAACUAUUAGAUUAGUUAAGUAAUAUACCAAAAUAUAGCGAAAUAACAAGGUUAGUGAAGCCAACAAGUCAGUAAAGUUUAGCUGUCGGUUUAACACGAUGCAAAAAGACAUAAAGUUUCAAGGAAAUAUAAGUGAAAAUAUAAAUGAAUGAAUAUGCAAAUCAAGUUGAAACUAUGGCCGCGUUCACACUGCAAGUCUUAAUGCUCAAUUCGGAUAUUUUGCUCAGAUCUGAUUUUUUUUGUUUGGCUGUUCACAUUACCUUUUAAAAUGUGGCCUAUAUCAGAUACCAACUUUACUUUCGAACUGACCCGCAUGCGCAAACGAACGAUAACAAUGACGUCACACACAGCACGCCGUUGCGCUAAAGUUGGCGAGGUUAUGGAGGAAAUAUUGUAUCAUCUGGUGCAAGCAAACAUAUCAUGUAAUGCUAUAAUGUGAUGUAUUCAAUGCAAACAUUAUGAGCUGGUUCAUGUAACCACUUUAUAUAACACUCUUAACACACACGUUACCAGUCACGCUUGUGUCACGUUUUCGCCGAGGAGGUGAAAAAAAAAGGCGCAUAAUUGUGAGGAAUGUCGAUGUAGAUUGACGUAAAAGUCGCAUCAAAUCCGCCUUGGCUGUUCACACUGCGGCCACAUUGGAAAAAAAUCAGAUUUGGGUCUGAUUCAGGACCACAUAUGGAAGUGGCCCAGAUCUGAUUUGAAAAAAUCAGAUCUGGGCCAGAUUUGAGUGUUCACACUACUCCUGAAGAAGUCUGACCUGGUCACUUGACCCCAAAAAAAUCGGAUUUGGGCCACUUUUACCUGCAGUGUGAACGUGGCUUAUGUUAUCAUCUUAAACAACCAGACAUGUUAUGGAGGUUUUAUGAGGUUAAUCUGCUCAUAAGAUUUGUUUAAUUCAGUGGUCUUCACUAUUUUUUUCAUGUGAGCCACACUGAUAGGACAAAGUCAAUAGGAGAGCCACUUUCACCUCAAAGUAUGCCAAGUUAUUCAGUCUUAAAUAGCUUAUCUGCUUAAAUACAAUGUACAAUAUUGCAAUACAAUAAUUACUCGAGUUGCGGAUGACGCAUGUUCCCCAUCAGUUACCUCUUUUGUCCCUGUCACAUUGCUUUGUUGCUGUUCAUUUUGUGCGUGGGAUUGUUUGAUAAGCAAUCGAUCCAUUUUUUAGUCCGUGUGUACAGUAAACACAAGUUGUUAACUAGCAUGAAACACAAACUAGCUUCUGGCAGGCCGCCAAAAACUGGCUAUUGUGCAGAACGCAGUGAGUCAGUGACGAGUCAAAUAAUAUAUAUAAAUAUAUAUUAUUAUUUGUAAUAGAGCACAUUCGUUUUUCUAUGCUUCCCUGAUUGUUUUUAAUGUUAUUUAAAUGAAAAAUAAAUGUUAACCACAUGAUCAUAUCAUCGUAUUAUUUACUGCCAUGCGAGCCGCAUAUUAAAGCUUGGCAAGCCGCAGGAGGCUCGUGAGCCGCGCAAUGAGUAACACUGGUUUAAUUGUUAGCCUUUUCAUGUCAGUGCAAUACUCAAGAAGUGAUUCAGAUUCCAAAACACGUCUUCGCUUCUGUUUGGGUUUAUUUUUAAUAAAUAUUAUUAUUUAUUUAAUUAGCAAGAUUUAUUAUGUAUUAUCCAAUUACCAUUUAUUUAUAUAACAUUAAUUAACUAAUUAAUUAAAUAAUUAAUGAAUAUAAGAAUUAAAUCCAUAUCAAAAUCCUGCCACUUUCUCUAUCACCUCCUGUCAAGUGCUUCUCUUAUUUUUGUGUGUGUGUGUGUGUGUGUGUGUGUGUGUGUGUGUGUGUGUGUGUGUGCACUGCCUGAGGUGACACACCCCUUGUAAGUGUUCCAGGUAAAUGGAUGAGCAACAUUUCUUCGGAAGGAUGCAUCAUGAUGUUUGAUUUCCCAUGUCUGUGCAUGUCUCUCUCUCUCUCUCUCUCUCUCUCUCAAACACACACACACACACACAACCAUGCACGGAACCAUUCAUAUUCGCAUGCAAACGUUUUAUAUCAUACACACUUUCUUGCAUGCAAAACCUUCUUUUUUAUAUUUUCCUCGCCUAAAUAAAGGUCCAAAAGUGCUCAUUUAAAAGUGUUUCUAAUGUGAACGCCAUAGUGGCCGCUGUGGCUGACGUGGUUUCAUUCCAACAAAGCAGAAGCCACUGGAAAGUCAGUUGAAGGCCAAGAUGAACUGAUUAAAAAGGUACAAUCAGAUAUGGCUCCACACUGCCAUAUCAUAGUGAGUUCUCCUGAUGGGCACGGUGGCUUAGUGGUUAGCACGUUUGCCUCACACAUCCAGGGUUGGGGGUUCGAUUUCCGCCUCCGCCUUGUGUGUGUGGAGUUUGCAUGUUCUCCCCGUGUCUCGGGGGUUUCCUCCGGGUACUCCGGUUUCCUCCCCCCGGUCCAAAGACAUGCAUGGUAGGUUGAUUGGCAUCUCUGGAAAAAUUGUCUGUAGUGUGUGAUUGCGUGAGUGAAUGAGAGUGUGUGUGUGCCCUGCGAUGGGUUGGCACUCCGUCCAGGGUGUAUCCUGCCCUGAUGCCCAAUGACGCCUGAGAUAGGCACAGGCUCCCCGUGACCUGAGGUAGUUCAGAUAAGCGGUAGAAGAUGAGUGAGAGCGAGCGAGCAAGUUCUCCUGAUUGACAGUUUCCUUGUAUUGAAUGGAAAAAAACAGCAACUCAAGAACAAACAGUGUCUAUUUUGGUCUGCAUCUUCCACUCCCUUUAGUAAUCAUGUAAGGUGUCUGUGUGUGUGUGUGUGUGUGUGUGUGUGUGUAAUAGAAAGGGAAAGGGAAAGAAAUAAAGAUGGAAGAUUUUGACAGAUGAAAAAAGGUGAACGUGAUUAGAUAAACAAGAUAAUGAGAAAAAUGUAACUAGAGAAAUUAUGAGAGAAAAAGAACGAAUAAGGCGACUGGGACUCGACCUGCACCUUCCCUGUUUACAGUGAAGCUGCUCAUUGUUCGGCUAUAAAACCAAUUACAUACAUAUGUGUGUGUGUGUGUGUGUAUGUAUGUGUGUGUAUGUAUGUAUGUGUGUGUCUUACCCAGACUCUUCCUUCCAGUUCUCCUUGUCUUUACUUUGGUGUGUCUUAAGAACCCUCUCCAGCUCCUACAGAGAGAAAGAAAGCGUCAGAGGAAGAUAAAGAGAGAUAACUCAAUUUAAUAGAAAUGUGCAGCUUGGAGAACAUGGAAAUGUUUUCCCAUUAAACCAUCAGAGAGAUCUUCCAGUAUGAAUAAGGGAGUGUGUGCUGUGUAUGAGACCUUUAUACAGGUGAUGUAGGGUGUGUUCUGCUGCAUGUCGGCCUCACAGAGAGCAAUAUCGUCAUCUGGGUUUGGGUCAAAGUCAUACAGGUCCUGAUCUGCACCCACACACACACACACACACACACACACACACACACACACACACACACACACAGUGUACAUGCAAUUUUGAGUCAGAGUCUCGUAACAGAUCAGCUACACAGUGAAGUAAGACAGGAAGUCCACAGUGUUCCAAACAUCAGAACAACAGCACAUCUGGUGUCACAUUACUGUACUUAACAACCUUAUGUCAGUUGACAUAAUUACACAAAAGGUUUUUACACAAGAUAUUAACUUGUCAGACAGUUUUCUUGUAACCCAAAUCUAAAGCAAACAUCAGACCUUUGUGUAAACACUGUCAUUUAUGAUGAAUAACCCAUAUUAUAUGCCCUAUUACCUAAUCAUUAGUAGAUAAUAGAUUUUAUUACAACAGGGAACGUUAUUCUCAUGUUUCUGUAUCUGUGGUUCCUGUAAACAUGGCAUUGGCGGUUCUAGGAAUUUUCUGUAACAGGGGUCAUUAAGGGGCCCCAUGUUACAUUCAGGGGCCAAGUACAGGGUACAUUCAAGCACACAAAAUAAAUUAUUCAGUACAGUGCAAAUACAUUUCGGCAGUCGUUCCUUUUUCAAACGCUCGAGUGCCGCUAAUUGUUCGGGGGUGGAAUUGCAUCUGUGAUCCUUGUGAAAAAAAAAUUCUCCGGUUGCUCUUCUCGUCGACGAUUGAUGGAACGGGGGCCAAUCAGGGGCCAAUCAGAUUUCAGAAGGGGCCAGGGCCCCUGUGGCCCCGCCUCUAGAACCGCCCCUGAAACAUGGCAAACACAUACCUCGAUUUGAGUCCAGUUUGCAGAGCAAAGAGUGGGCUUCAGCCCGCGCGGUCUCUGACACCUGAGAGUGUAGACUGAUCGUGUCGUCAUCCGAGGGCUGAUGAAAGAGAAAGUUGAGGGUAGAUAGUCUCUUAUCACCGUUGUCACUGCCAAUACCUGAAUCAGGCCCGUGGUUCUUACUAGGGUAAAAAUCCUCUAUGCUGCACACACACAUAUACACAAACACCCACCCACACACACACACACACACACACACACACACACACACACACACACACAAACGAAUUGUCACCCAGACUAAACAUGACAUUCAUUUACUUGUUCAAUCUGAGCUCAUUAUAAGAAAUGUAUUAUUUCUUUUUGCGAUACUACGUUUAAAUUGUAUUACUUUAUGAUUUUAUAUUUCUAAAGUAGUUCUACUUUCAAUAUUUAUUGACGGGGAAACCCUCUGCUGUAUACUGUAACAACAACUGCCUUAAAUUAAAAACAAACCUAAAGAUCUGUCUAUAUUUUCUAUUAAUAUAAUCUAGCAGUAUAUAUAGCAGUGUAUUAAUAUAAUAUAGUGGUGAGUUUUUGAACUAUGAGUUUCAAAUGAGAAAGAAUGUACUAGUUAUUAAUAAAUUAUUAAAUAAAAACAUUUUAUGAUAGUGGAUGCAGUUAUCUGUACGUCUUUAUUUUACAGAACACUAAAGCUCUACGGGGGGGCACGGUGGCUUAGUGGUUAGCACGUUUGCCUCACACUUCCAGGGUUGGGGGUUCGAUUCCCGCCUCCGCCUUGUGUGUGUGGAGUUUGCAUGUGUGAAGUUUGCAUGAGUGAAUGAGAGUGUGUGUGUGUGCCCUGUGAUGGGUUGGCACUCCGUCCAGGGUGUAUCCUGCCUUGAUGCCUGAUGACGCCUGAGAUAGGCACAGGCUCCCCGUGACCCGAGGUAGUUCGGAUAAGCGGUAGAAAAUGAGUGAGUGAGUGAGUGAGUAAAGCUCUACAAAUAAUCUGUAGCGGUUUAGGUUUUAGGAUUUGAACAACAGUGAUCUAAUGGUAUCUUGAGGGCACAUUUGGGUCGUAAAGUGAGCAUGUGCACAGACCUGUCUGUUAACUGCUGUGCUAAACACCGUUUGCCAGGUAAGGGCAGAUCCAGCGAGUCGGGUUUCUUCUCCAGACGACACGCUUGCAUGUUUAAAUACUUAAAGAUAUGAAUCUUUCCCUUCAGACAGAUCUGGAAACAAAUCAGAACAGCCAGGUGUUAGUGACGUACAUUUUAGGCUGCUAUGACAAUCCCAAGUCUGUCCCUUCAAUGGGAAAUCUUGUUCCUAAUCUCAGUCGAUAAUCUCUUAGUCUGUAUUUACGCAGGACUGACUUUCCUGUAUGCUGCAUUGACGUAAUGUAUUCAUUCCCUAAAAUGGUUUAAGUUGCUCAUCUCUUUUUUCUUUGUGAGCUCAGGUUUCUGUCCCCAUUCAAGUCAACUGGCUCCAGAUCCACUGCCACCACCACCAGGACAAAGUGUUUAGUAAAGGUGGAUGAACGGACUUUAUAGUCUUAUUGCUUUAUGUCUGUGCUUUGAGGACAUCUGCUGGUCAUAAACGCGUUUAUAAAUAAAAACCCAUAGCAAAUAAAGUAAUAGUUAAUCGCA